rnacentral:rRNA from 1 species
GUGGGGAAUAUUGCGCAAUGGGGGAAACCCUGACGCAGCAACGCCGCGUGGGUGACGAAGGCCUUCGGGUCGUAAAGCCCUGUCGUGGGGAAAGAAGCUCUGACGGUACCCCACAAGAAAGCCACGGCUAACUCCGUGCCAGCAGCCGCGGUAAUACGGAGGUGGCGAGCGUUGUUCGGAAUUAUUGGGCGUAAAGGGGGCGCAGGCGGCCACAUAAGUCUAUGGUGAAAGCCCUCGACUCAAUCGAGGAAUUGCCUUGGAAACUGCGUGGCUUGAGUUCGGGAGAGGAGAGCGGAAUUCCCGGUGUAGCGGUGAAAUGCGUAGAUAUCGGGAAGAACACCGGUGGCGAAGGCGGCUCUCUGGACCGAAACUGACGCUGAGGCCCGAAAGCUGGGGGAGCGAACAGG